rnacentral:tRNA from 1 species
GGCGGCAUAGCUCAGUUGGCUAGAGCAUACGGUUCAUACCCGUAGUGUCGUUGGUUCGACUCCAACUGCCGCUACCA